rnacentral:rRNA from 1 species
GACGAACGCUGGCGGCGUGCCUAAUACAUGCAAGUUGAGCGAUGAAGAUUGGUGCUUGCACCAAUUUGAAGAGCAGCGAACGGGUGAGUAACGCGUGGGGAAUCUGCCUUUGAGCGGGGGACAACAUUUGGAAACGAAUGCUAAUACCGCAUAACAACUUUAAACAUAAGUUUUAAGUUUGAAAGAUGCAAUUGCAUCACUCAAAGAUGAUCCCGCGCUGUAUUAGCUAGUUGGUGAGGUAAAGGCUCACCAAGGCGAUGAUACAUAGCCGACCUGAGAGGGUGAUCGGCCACAUUGGGACUGAGACACGGCCCAAACUCCUACGGGAGGCAGCAGUAGGGAAUCUUCGGCAAUAGACGAAAGUCUGACCGAGCAACGCCGCGUGAGUGAAGAAGGUUUUCGGAUCGUAAAACUCUGUUGGUAGAGAAGAACGUUGGUGAGAGUGGAAAGCUCAUCAAGUGACGGUAACUACCCAGAAAGGGACGGCUAACUACGUG